AUUGAACGCUGGCGGCAGGCCUAUCACAUGCAAGUCGAGCGGAUGAAGGGAGCUUGCUCCUGGAUUCAGCGGCGGACGGGUGGGUAAUGCCUAGGAAUCUGCCUGGUAGUGGGGGAUAACGUCCGGAAACGGGCGCUAAUACCGCAUACGUCCUGAGGGAGAAAGUGGGGGAUCUUCGGACCUCACGCUAUCAGAUGAGCCUAGGUCGGAUUAGCUAGUUGGUGGGGUAAAGGCCUACCAAGGCGACGAUCCGUAACUGGUCUGAGAGGAUGAUCAGUCACACUGGAACUGAGACACGGUCCAGACUCCUACGGGAGGCAGCAGUGGGGAAUAUUGGACAAUGGGCGAAAGCCUGAUCCAGCCAUGCCGCGUGUGUGAAGAAGGUCUUCGGAUUGUAAAGCACUUUAAGUUGGGAGGAAGGGCAGUAAGUUAAUACCUUGCUGUUUUGACGUUACCAACAGAAUAAGCACCGGCUAACUUCGUG
rnacentral:rRNA from 1 species